CACUAAGAAGCUGAACAGGGUCUCAGCAUAAGCCUUUUAAGCUUAAGAUUGGUGACUCCCGCCCACCCUUAGUGA
rnacentral:tRNA from 1 species